rnacentral:rRNA from 1 species
GACGAACGCUGGCGGCGUGGAUUAGGCAUGCAAGUCGAACGGUAUCAUCCUUUCGGGGGGUGAGAGAGUGGCGAACUGGUGAGUAACACGUAGGUUAUCUACCCUCAAGACGGGGACAACCCAGGGAAACUUGGGCUAAUACCGGAUGUGAGCAACUUUUAGUUGUUUGAAAGGUGGCGUAAGCUGUCGCUUGGGGAUGAGCCUGCGUCCUAUUAGUUAGUUGGUGAGGUAAGAGCUCACCAAGGCGAUGAUAGAUAGGCGGCCUUAACGGGUGGUCGCCCACACUGGGAUUGAGAUACGGCCCAGACUCCUACGGGAGGCAGCAGUCGAGAAUAGUCUACAAUGGCCGGAAGGCUGAUAGUGCGACGCCGCGUGAACGAGGGAGCCCGUUCGGGGUGUAAAGUUCUUUUCUAUACGAGCAGUGCUAUAUAUAUGGAUAGUAUAUAUAGAGGGAUAGUAGUAUAGGAAUAAGCAACGGCUAACUCCGUGCCAGCAGCCGCGGUAAU